rnacentral:rRNA from 1 species
UGCCAGCAGCCGCGGUAAUACGGAGGGUGCAAACGUUGCUCGGAAUCAUUGGGCGUAAAGCGCGUGUAGGCGGUUGAUUAAGUCGAAUGUGAAAGCCCUGGGCUCAACCCGGGAAGUGCAUUCGAUACUGGUCAACUAGAGUACGGGAGAGGGUAGCGGAAUUUCCGGUGUAGAGGUGAAAUUCGUAGAUAUCGGAAGGAACACCAGUGGCGAAGGCGGCUAUCUGGACCGAUACUGACGCUGAGACGCGAAAGCGUGGGGAGCAAACAGGAUUAGAUA